CCUCCUCCCAGCAGUCUCUGCUCUAUAUAUAAAGGUCAGAGCAACCUUACCCCCCCCACACACACCUAGUCUGUGAAGCCUGGACACCAUCUUGAUGCACCCAAGGAGUGAGGUACCCUUCUGAAAAGGAUGAGAAUGCGCUGACAUAGUGAGGAGACGUCUGGGCGUCACAUUCUACAGACAGAAGUUUUAGCUGGACCAGGCGGGUUUUACCUAUACACUGGACAUCCCCCGGCAUAGAUUUCCACCUUCAUGGAUGCGCCAGGACGGAAUAAUUAAUUUGUAUCUAUAUUGUCUUUCACGGUUGUGCUUUUAGUGUCAUGUUGAGGAGCUAAUGUAUACUUAC